AAAAUUUUAAUCGCAUGUUCUUUAUACAAUAACAGCAUCCAUACAGCUACCAACAUGAAACCACGUGAAAUUUUAUAUGCAGCCAAAAAUGGACAGGAGAGACCGAUAGAAAUGGAACGCCUUGUUGAACUUCGUGACAAGUUGAAGCGAGAGGAUCCGCCAAAACUAAAACAAAACGAAUUGGCAUACAACCGCAUCCAAGGAGUGAAGUCAAAAAUUAAGGACCGCUACCAACAAGUGCGAGUACGAUCUAACCGGAAACACACGUACAAAGAUAUCCUAAGUCGAAAAUUGCAUAAAGAAAAACUGCGACGAAUCCGAAAGUAACACCACAGAAUCUCUAAUGUGUUUUUUCAUUUGUUUUCUCUUUUUAGAUGACGUUUAUUUGGAAUAUCCUGAUAACAACCACAUUCCUUACUCAGCUAUCCCAACCACAAUCCAUCCACGUCAUUAAUCUCAAACAAAACCCCGGUCUUUUAACCAUAGAAACUGGCAACAGUUUUAUAAAAAUAGGCAAUCACAGAUUGUUUCAUAUCCUAGAACUGGAUAAUUACGAACCUAUUUUUAGAAAAUUGCUUGCUAAUAUCCAAGGAAUACGGACAUUCUCAAAUUUUACUGAUAUGUUUGAAAUCUUAGAAUCGAAAUAUGGAACCGUUCACAGUUUAUUCAAUAAUCUUCGGCCAAAGCAAAGAAAUAAAAGAGGAUUAUUUAAUUUUCUCGGAACUGGAAUAAAAAGAAUUACAGGAAAUAUGGACCAUAACGACUAUGAACAAAUUUCGAAAAAUAUUUUUGAACUGCAGAUCAAGAACAAAAGACUUAUUAACGAAAACAACGAACAGCUUAAAAUUAAUCUACAACUCCAAAAUAGAAUCAAUUCCAUUAUCAACCGUUUAAAUCAACAACAGAGUGAAAUAACUAAAAACAUUAUAUCAGCGAGAUUUGAAAACGAAACCAACAAAAACUUUAAAUUAUUUAGAGAAAUUUUGAAAAUCAAUUACAACUUAGACAACCUUAAAUCACAUUAAGAAGACAUUUUUGAAUCAAUUCAGUUAGCAAGAACUAACAUUAUUCCCAAACAAAUACUUUCAAUUGAAGAGUUAGGAUUUGUUUCAGAUAUAUUAGAAGAACAAAACAUUAGGACGAACAGUUUAGAUCAAAUUUAUGAAUAUUUAGAAUUGUCAGCAUUUUAUAACCAUUCAAAACUAAUAUUUGUUGUGUCAAUUCCAAAAAUAGAAAAAGCUAUGUACACACAUUUUUUCCUAGAACCUCUUCCAGUAGUAGAUAAAAUUUUAAAACUUCCUGCUAAUGCUGCUUUGCAAAGCGACAACAGAACAUAUUUCAUCAAGAAGGAUUGCCUGCGAAUCGAAAGGACAAGGCUGUGCAAUCUAAGCAGCCUAGAGGACAUAACCGGCGACCUAUGCUACUCAAACCUACUAAGAGGACUAUCAGGAAACUGUACUUUCGUAAAAUGCUAUCAAUCAACGGAGAUCAAAGCGAUCAUGGACAAUUACCUUGUCGCUUAAAACAUCAAUAACACAGAAAUCGAAUCGAAUUGUGGUCUUUCAAAACGAAACUUAUCUGGAACGUAUUUGAUAGAGUUCCACAAUUGCUCUGUCAUAAUAAAUGGCACCAAGUUCUCAAAUGUCGAAGCAAACAAAUCAGAACCGACAUUUGUUAUGCCAUUAGAUGGUUUACAUAUCAAUGAACAGACCCUGGAAAUCCAGAAUAAUAUAGAAGAAAUUCACAUCCAUAAUAGACACCGGAUUGAAGCAUUAACUAAGGAACACAAAAUUCAGACAUACACAUCUCUAAGUAUGUCGACCGUAUGUUUUCUUCUAAGUAUCGUUGCAGGUCUUUCAUGGAUU
rnacentral:lncRNA from 1 species